rnacentral:lncRNA from 1 species
CUUGAAUAUUAUUAUAGAUAGAGAUAAACUGUAAACAGCAAUUAUGUUCAGCAAAGUAAGAUUUACAAAUAAGUCAACGUGACCGAAAUGGUCAGUUGACCCCUUUAGGAGUUAUUGCCCUUUAUAGUCAAUUUUAAACAAUUUUUCGUAAAUCUUAGUUACCUUUUACAAAAAUCUUCUCCUCUGAAACUACUGGGCCAAAUUAAUCCAAACUUGGCCACAAUCAUCUUUGGGGUAUCUAGUUUGAAAAAUGUGUCCGGUGACCCGGCCAUCAAAUCAAGAUGGCCGCCACAGC